AGUGAACGCUGGCGGUAGGCCUAACACAUGCAAGUCGAACGGCAGCACAGGAGAGCUUGCUCUCUGGGUGGCGAGUGGCGGACGGGUGAGGAAUACAUCGGAAUCUACUUUUUUGUGGGGGAUAACGUAGGGAAACUUACGCUAAUACCGCAUACGACCUCAGGGUGAAAGCAGGGGAUCUUCGGACCUUGCUCGAUUGAAUGAGCCGAUGUCGGAUUAGCUAGUUGGCGGGGUAAAGGCCCACCAAGGUGACGAUCCGUAGCUGGCCGGAGAGGAUGAUCAGCCACACUGGAACUGAGACACGGUCCAGACUCCUACGAGAGGCAGCAGUGGGGAAUAUUGGACAAUGGGCGCAAGCCUGAUCCAGCCAUACCGCGUGGGUGAAGAAGGCCUUCGGGUUGUAAAGCCCUUUUGUUGGGAAAGAAAUCCAGCUGGUUAAUACCCGGUUGGGAUGACGGUACCCAAAGAAUAAGCACCGGCUAACUUCGUGCCAGCCGCCGCCGUAA
rnacentral:rRNA from 1 species